UGGGGAAUAUUGGACAAUGGGGGCAACCCUGAUCCAGCAAUGCCGCGUGUGUGAAGAAGGCCUGCGGGUUGUAAAGCACUUCCAGUAGAGAAGAAAAGCCUAAGGUUAAUAACCUUGAGUCUUGACGUAACCUACAGAAGAAGCACCGGCUAACUACGUGCCAGCAGCCGCGGUAAAACGUAGGACGCAAGCGUUAUCCGGAAUUACUGGGCGUAAAGCGCGCGCAGGCGGAGGGGUAAGUCAGCUAUGAAAGCUCUCGGCUAAACUGGGAGAGGAUGGUUGAAACUGCCCGUCUAGAGUACAGCAGAGGAAUGUGGAAUUCCGCGUGUAGUGGUGAAAUGCGUAGAGAUGCGGAGGAACACCAGUGGCGAAGGCGGCAUUCUGGGCUGAUACUGACGCUGAGGCGCGAAAGCAUGGGUAGCG
rnacentral:rRNA from 1 species